rnacentral:pre_miRNA from 1 species
ACACACACUCGGGGACUUAGUGGAAACGCUGACUCUGAUUCAGUAAGUCUGGUGUAGGGUCUGAGAUUUUGCAUUUCUAAUAAGCUCCCAAGUGAUUCAGAG